UACAGAGGGUGCAAGCGUUAAUCGGAAUUACUGGGCGUAAAGCGUGCGUAGACGGUUAUGUAAGUCAGAUGUGAAAGCCCCGGGCUCAACCUGGGAAUUGCAUUUGAGACUGCGUAGCUAGGGUGCGGAAGAGGGAAGCGGAAUUUCCGGUGUAGCGGUGAAAUGCGUAGAUAUCCGAAAGAACACCGGUGGCGAAGGCGGCCUGCUGGGCUGUUACUGACACUGAACCGCGACAGCGUGGGGAGCAAACAGG
rnacentral:rRNA from 1 species